rnacentral:rRNA from 1 species
AUUGAACGCUGGCGGCAUGCCUUACACAUGCAAGUCGAACGGCAGCACGGGAGCAAUCCUGGUGGCGAGUGGCGAACGGGUGAGUAAUGUAUCGGAACGUGCCCAGUCGUGGGGGAUAACGUAGCGAAAGCUACGCUAAUACCGCAUACGAUCUAUGGAUGAAAGCGGGGGAUCGCAAGACCUCGCGCGAUUGGAGCGGCCGAUAUCAGAUUAGGUAGUUGGUGGGGUAAAGGCUCACCAAGCCGACGAUCUGUAGCUGGUCUGAGAGGACGACCAGCCACACGAGGACUGAGACACGGCCCAGACUCCUACGGGCGGCAGCAGUGGGGAAUUUUGGACAAUGGGCGAAAGCCUGAUCCAGCAAUGCCGCGUGCAGGAUGAAGGCCUUCGGGUUGUAAACUGCUUUUGUACGGAACGAAACGGCGAACUCUAAUACAGUUUGCUAAUGACGGUACCGUAAGAAUAAGCACCGGCUAACUACGUGCCAGCCGCCGCCGUAA